AUAAUGAUACUUCCGUCCAGCCACAGUCCGAGCGUUAAAAGCGUCGCAGGCAAUGGGGGCGGCCCGCCGACAGGGGGGAGGUGAAAGUCCUAUGA
rnacentral:ncRNA from 1 species